UUAUCGUUGACGACGGGCUUGAUGAGUUCUAAAUAAUGGUCGCACAGCUCGUAAAGCCAAAAGUGGUACAGUGACGUGGUUGCACCGGAAAAA
rnacentral:ribozyme from 12 species